rnacentral:lncRNA from 1 species
AGAGAAGGAGACACAUUUGUGCAAUAUUUAGGAAGCAAAAUUGUAGAGCAGGAAUGGAUCUGAAGUCAAUGAAAAACUCUUCAUAGCUCUAGUUGUUGGGCUUCCCCAGAAGAUGACAUUGAAAGGAAGGUUUGGAUGCAAGUUGUUCAUUUAGGAGGAGAUCUCAGGAAGCACAAAGUAUUUCCUUGAGUCAGGACCUCCAAGUCCUCCCCUAACUGUGCAGCAGGUCCAUAAAUUCAUCAGCUUCCCAGGCUGCUUCCACCUUUGCUACAUGUGGCCUCAUCCUUACAGCCCAAGAUGGCUCCUAGGGCUCUAGCCAUCACAUGCUGGUACCAGAGAGCAAGAUGACUGAAGGGGAGGAAAGAGAGCAUGUGCUUGUCUCGUGAAGAGAUUUCCUGGAAGUUACACAAAACAUUUCUGUUUUCAGCUUGUUGACUAGAACAUAGUCGUCUGUCAUACUUAGUGUGGAGGGUGACCAAAGAGGGAGUGUUUUGUCUGAAUAGCAUUGCAUCCAGCCAGAUAGCGAGGGCAAGUAGCUGGAGGGAAGAGGAAGACAGACAUUGUAGAGGAAGCUAGCAGUGACUCCCCCCCAGAUUAUAUCCUAUUAAUAAAAGUAAGAACCUAAUUUAUGCCAUGUGCCUGGGCCUCACAGGGCCAUCACACCUCCAUGAAACAAAGUGCUUGGCCUCACUCUGGUUUGCUUUUGUCAUCUCUGAAACAAGGAGGUUUUACUUCCCCAUGUUUCCCAAAUGUCCAUCAUUCAAAUAAUGCUUCUGCUGUGUAGCCAUGUCUACAGCUGUGGUCAAUGCUCCUCAUCAAGGCCGCUGUCUGUGUACCACUCGUGAUUUAAUCAGUCCGUUUUCUUCCAGGGGACUCUCCCUUUAAGCUUCUCUCUCUCUCUCUCUCUCUCUGUCUAUAUAUAUAUAUAUAUAUACAUAUAUAUAUAUACACACAUAUGCACAUAUAUAUAUCUACACACACACAUAUGUAACAUAUAUUUAGAAGCUUAAAUAUGUAUUAUAUAUUCACUCUCUCUAUAUAUAGAGAGAAAUUUAUAUAUAUAUAUGUAUGUAUUCCUCUAACACUCCUGCACCACACACUGAUCUUCCUAUUCAACAAAUACGAAGGAGGCUGCAGGCACUGAACCUUGAUCAGGUCACUACAUCUGACCUGACAUUAGGAUACUUUUAUUUAAGUUUCUAAAUGUAUAAGUUACAUACAUUUAUAUAUAUACACAUAUAUAGAGAUUUAGAUAUUGAAAAAAUACAUAUUUAUAUAUUGAAAAAAUCUAUAUAUAGACAGAGAGAUUUAUAUGUUGAAAAACCCAAGUAAAAUAAAAAUAAGAAAGUAUCCUUAACAUCAGGUGAGAUGUAGUGACCUGAUCAAGGUUCAGAGCCUGAAGCCUCAUUCCUGUUUGUUGAAGAGGAAGAUCAGUGUGUGGUGUGGGGGUGUUAGAGAAAUAGCGUCAGCAAACUGGAACUCUCUUCUUGCCCUAAUAAGCAGGACUGAAAGUGUUCUCCCUAUGUAAUUUACUUUCUUUUAAACUUAAAAUGAAG